UGUGUGUGUGUGUGUGUGUGUGUGUUGGUGAGCAGCGUUCAUUGCAAGGUGUGUUCCUCCAUAUUUACCGCAUAAAAUGGAGACAAAGAUUCUUGUGUUGCCCUGUAAUGUGUUGUUCUAUGGCUGUGUUGUUGUCAGUGCUAAGAGGCUGGGCGAGGGAGAGGCUUAGUGAAGCAGACUAUGGUGAUGCCAAGGUUAUUUACUUUGUUGAAUCUCGUCGACUACGGACACAGCUGAGGUGGACCUCCGCUGCUUCCCACUGGCUCCUCUCCUCUUGUUGAAGACCAACAAGAAUCGGCUGAUCUUAUACUCUGUCGUGGCUGAUGAGUCUCGGCGGGAGGUUUACGAGCAGAGGGACCUGCCAGCCCCCCCCCCCCCCCCCCAAGCGGGAGUCUUCCAACCUGUAUGCCUGUGAGCCCGUCCGCCUCUCAUGAUCUCCACAGCUUUUCAGACUGAGGUGAACAGAGGCGUGACUGGGCUGGUGUGUCUAUGGAAGGAGCUGAUGGUUGCUACUGUGCCGGGCCAUACCCAGCAGCUGUGUUGGGACGGCUCCGUCAACUACAGCUACAAGGUGCGUGGACCUGCGGCGCGUCCCAUUCUGCAAUGAUCAGCUGGCAGUGAAGGGUGAGUCUCCGAGGCUCUUGACUUUGUGGACCAUAGCCUGUUUGAAAAGCCUCUCACUGUAGAAGUUAACCUGACCUAGCCUAACAAAUCCCAACAGUUACUAUAGGCCUUGAUUCAGAAGAUUCAUAUAUGCUUCCCUAUUAAUGAGACUUUCUAUACAACAAAGUGAGGUCAUUCUUUGUUGAUUUAUACCAUAAGGUGCUGGCUAUCACGUGUUUGAAGAUACCCUAAACUUAACCCAACAAAACCCCAAACAGUUAAUAUAGAUCUUGAGUCAGAAAUAUCAUAUAUGCUUCCUUACUUUCUAUACAACAAAGUGCCAUCA